CUUGGCCGGCGGCCAUCUUGGCUCGGGCGCGCGCCCCUCCGUGGCCGGAGUGGCCUCGCCCAAAAUGGCGGCGUCGGCCUGAGGCGGCGCUCGGCUCCUUCGCGGGGACAGAGCCACGGUGCUGUGUUUUGGCACAGUGGCGGCGUGAGCCCGUCGAGGGGAGUAACAACAACGAUUACUAAGGAAGUUACAACAGAGACUGAAACAGUCCAGCAAAUGGCAAACGUGUAGUCAAGCCCCAGUAUAUGCUUAUACAUAAACAUGACGUAGUAGAUUAUUAAAUUAAAUUAUCAGGAGAUAUUAUAUGCUUACUAUCCCAUGGCAGCGGGCGUUGGGACCAGGCCUAAAAGUGACACAAGAUGGCGCCCAGAACCACAGGCAGAGCCAACCUGAGCAACACCCUGACUCCCAGGUGGUGAGGUCCAAGCUGAUCUAAAAGUGAAUAAAGCUCCUGUGUGGCUGACAGACCUUCCACUCAAGCAUGGCUAUAUUGCAUUUUCUUAUAUUGAGGUGGUUGUUUUGUCUGCUCUGCUGUCUUUCUUUGAACUUUUUUCUUGGAGACACCAGUUUUCUUAUAGGGUGUAGCAUAUUCUUGCGUGUUGGGAACAUGCAAGAAACUUUUUUAUAGGAUUGAAUUUUUAUAUUUUAUUUUUUCUCAUUUUAAAUUGAAAUAGUAUAUUUGCUUGGUUUGGCUCCAUUAACCACAUGAAGAACUUCUAUUCAGUGAGCUGAAUGGUGAUCUUUAUCACUUUUGACUUACUUUGUUUACUUUGAAUUUCUGGGACCUUAAAUUACCUUAAUCUUAAAUUCUCAGUUCCUGAAAUUCUGCUUCUACCGUUUGUUUUUUGGCAGCAGCCACAUCUGAAUUAAGCUUCAGGCAAUCAUGUUAUCCAGCUUCUUUGAAUACCAUCCAUACUUUGUUCUUAGUUGUAGAAAUAUUUAUCAACUUUCCAACAAACUUUCUGAUAUUUACAAAUGGUAUAGUUAUCUCAUACUCUCAAACAUCCACAAUAAACAUCUGCCAAAGGAAGAAUUCCACACUACAACCCUUUGUCAAAGUGCCUAUAAAGAACUGAGUCUUUUAUGGAGAAGGGCCUUGGUAUUUUAGACAGAACUCUUCACUACACUGAUGCUCCUUUUUCAUUACUUACCUCCGAAUGUACACCUCAU